AGGGAAUCUUCCGCAAUGGACGAAAGUCUGACGGAGCAACGCCGCGUGAGUGAUGAAGGUUUUCGGAUCGUAAAGCUCUGUUGCCAGGGAAGAACGUCCGUUAGAGUAACUGCUAACGGAGUGACGGUACCUGAGAAGAAAGCCCCGGCUAACUACGUGCCAGCAGCCGCGGUAAUACGUAGGGGGCGAGCGUUGUCCGGAAUUAUUGGGCGUAAAGCGCGCACAGGCGGCUGGUUAAGUCUGGUGUUUAAUCCUGGGGCUCAACCCCGGGUCGCACUGGAAACUGGACGGCUUGAGUGCAGAAGAGGAGAGUGGAAUUCCACGUGUAGCGGUGAAAUGCGUAGAGAUGUGGAGGAACACCAGUGGCGAAGGCGACUCUCUGGGCUGUAGCUGACGCUGAGGCGCGAAAGCGUGGGGAGCAAAC
rnacentral:rRNA from 1 species